AGCGGCGGAGUAGAGCGGAGCCUGGCGGGCGUGGGAACCCAGGCCCCGCCGAGGCGGCCAGGAGGUGAGAUGGCAGCUGGGCAAAAUGGGCACGAAGAGUGGGUGGGCAGCGCAUACCUGUUUGUGGAGUCCUCGCUGGACAAGGUGGUCCUGUCGGAUGCCUACGCGCACCCCCAGCAGAAGGUGGCAGUGUACAGGGCUCUGCAGGCUGCCUUGGCAGCACUCCUUGCUCAAGACCCCUCCCCAGUACCUACCCUUCCAGGCCCCCCUUUCCCAUCUCAGGGCAGAGGCCACAGGGGGCUGAAGCGGGUUGGGGGAUCUGUUCGUGGCCUCAGAGCGGCGAGAGCCCCUCUUCUUCCCGAGCAGUGGGAGUCGCGCUUGGUGGAGGCCGAAGACCUGAGACCUCUCGCCCUCCUCUGCCCUGCUGGCCGCCUACCCAGACGGCUUGUUUGCCCAGGGCACACGCCCGCUUUUCUGUGCUUCGAAGUCCCUCUCUUUUGCCAACCCUCAUUUGGGGCGUGAGAGCGGGGGCUAGGUGGCACCCACUCUGUCUUAGGGUGCUCCCUGUGACAGAUCCUGGUCUUCUUUCUGGGUUAUUGCUGUUUGUAUCCCAAUUUUGCUUCCCAGCUGGGUACUCUGGGGUAACUGCACCCUAGGUCAGGGGAUGGG
rnacentral:sRNA from 1 species